rnacentral:rRNA from 1 species
GCCCCAUGGGGCGCAGCAGGCGAGAAAACUUUGCAAUGUGCGAAAGCACGACAAGGUUAAUCCGAGUGGUUUCUGCUAAAGGAACCUUUUGUCGGUCCUAGAAACACCGAUGAAUAAGGGGUGGGCAAGUUCUGGUGUCAGCCGCCGCGGUAAAACCAGCACCUCAAGUGGUCAGGAUGAUCACUGGGCCUAAAGCAUCCGUAGCCGGCUCUGUAAGUUUUCGGUUAAAUCUGUACGCUCAACGUACAGGCUGCCGGGAAUACUGCAGAGCUAGGGAGUGGGAGAGGUAGACGGUACUCGGUAGGAAGGGGUAAAAUCCUUUGAUCUAUUGAUGACCACCUGUGGCGAAGGCGGUCUACCAGAACACGUCCGACGGUGAGGGAUGAAAGCUGGGGGAGCAAACCGGAUUAGAUACCCGGGUAGUCCCAGCUGUAAACUAUGCAAACUCAGUGAUGCAUUGGCUUGUGGCCAAUGCAGUGCUGCAGGGAAGCCGUUAAGU